AUGGCUCACAUAGAAAACCACUGGCCACAUAAACAUGUUUAGCUGAUACUGCUAGCAUCUCACUGAACCAGUUAGGUUGGCGUUUCAAAAGCCUGAGACACCCCCAUCUCGAGGUCAUCCCUGGAGGAUUAGAGGGCUACCUGGUUCCUUCCCUCAGCUCUCCUUCCUCACCCACUCCCUUGGUACCAGGGCAUUGAAGAGCUGCAUCCAGUUUCCAAAAUGGCGGCUUCUGUGCUCCUGAGUGAAGUUCCAGUUUCUACCAAAGAUCCUGCUUCUUCCAGGCCUGUCUGAAUGAUACCAGUUCCUUCCACUGAUUGGUCUGACUGUUUCCUGGGUUCUCUGCACUCUCACCUUCUGUGAAUCCUCUAUUGCUGGAGACAAGCUGGAUAUCCGUCAGGAAGACUCUGAUCAAUGACAAAGCAUCGAGUCAACAGCCAAAACCUAACAAGAUUGCUUUGAAUGAGGAGCUACAGAAUUAAGCUUUAAGGGGAUGGAAGAGGGGAAGAACAGAGAGAUGGCUUAGUGGUUAGGAGCACUUGCUGCUCUUUCAGAGGACCUGAGUUCUAUUCCCAGCCCCCACAUGGUAGCUCCCAACCAUCUGUAGCUCCAGCUGCAGGGGAUCUUAUGCCCUCUUCUGGCCUCCACCAGGCACCAGGCAUACACAUGGUGCAUAUAUGUACACACAGGCAAAGCACCCAUACACAUAAAAUUUAAAAAGAAAAUUGUUAAAGAAAAACUCAUGUUAUCAUGU